GCCUCUUCAGACAGUCCAUUCCGAGAAGAGAGGGUCGUACAGCUAGCUGGAGACAAGCAAAGAUGGUCUCUUAUUCCUGACACAGCCCAGAAGUGCUUCAAGCAGGACUUGAGGUACAGCUGGAAGUAAUCAAGCCUUCCUACAGGGCUUGGCAUGUUGCUGAGUAGGAAAGUGAGGCAGCAAAACAGGGCUGCUGGAGCCAAGCA